GCCUUUGUGGUGUAACGGUAACACACUCGGCGCGUAUUCGAGAGGUCCAAGUUCGAAUCUUGACGAAGGCA
rnacentral:tRNA from 1 species